GUAGGUGAACCUGCGGAAGGAUCAUCAACAAAUCCAAAAACCUUUUCGGUUUUCUUUACACCUGUGUGAACUGUAAUCACGGAAAUGUUAUGACUUCGUAAGAAGUUAUAUAUUUUUCGUGAUUUUAUUUUUACCCUUGAUUUCCUAUUGGACUGAUUGUUUUCGUUUUAAGAUGAUGUCGAAAGGCAUUAUCUUUUUUUAACCACAAAACAACUUUUAACAAUGGAUCUCUUGGUUCUC
rnacentral:misc_RNA from 1 species